rnacentral:rRNA from 1 species
GACAGAGGGUGCAAACGUUGUUCGGAAUUACUGGGCGUAAAGCGUAUGUAGGCGGUCUGCUAAGUCGGGUGUGAAAGCCCUGGGCUCAACCCAGGAAGUGCACUCGAAACUGGCAGGCUAGAGUACUGGAGAGGUUGGUGGAAUUCUCGGUGUAGAGGUGAAAUUCGUAGAUAUCGAGAGGAACACCGGUGGCGAAGGCGGCCAACUGGACAGAUACUGACGCUGAGACACGAAAGCGUGGGGAGCAAACAGG